CCUACGGGCGGCAGCAGUGAGGAAUAUUGGUCAAUGGCCGGAAGGCUGAACCAGCCAUGCCGCGUGAAGGUCAGUGCCCUAUGGGCGUUAAACUUCUUUUGUGCGGGAGCAAUAAUGGUCACGUGUGGCCAGACGAGAGUACCGUACGAAUAAGCAUCGGCUAACUCCGUGCCAGCAGCCGCGGUAAUACGGGGGAUGCAAGCGUUAUCCGGAUUUAUUGGGUUUAAAGGGUGCGUAGGCUGGGAGGUAAGUCAGCGGUGAAAUGCCCCCGCUCAACGGGGUGAAGUGCCAUUGAUACUGCCUGGCUGGAAUGCGGAUGCCGUGGGAGGAAUGUGUGGUGUAGCGGUGAAAUGCAUAGAUAUCACACAGAACACCGAUUGCGAAGGCAUCUCACGAAUCCGCGAUUGACGCUGAUGCACGAAAGCGUGGGUAUCAAACAGGAUUAGAUACCCUGGUAGUC
rnacentral:rRNA from 1 species